rnacentral:tRNA from 1 species
UCCCUAUUAGUUCAGUUGAUAAAAAAUCUGCCUGCAAUGCAGAAGACCCUGGUUCACUUCCUGGGUUGGGAA